rnacentral:tRNA from 1 species
GGAGAGAUGGCCGAGCUGGUCGAAGGCGCUCCCCUGCUAAGGGAGUAAGGGGCCAAAAGCCCCUUCGAGGGUUCGAAUCCCUCUCUCUCCGCCA